UGCAGUCUGUGGUUCUGAGACUU
rnacentral:piRNA from 1 species